rnacentral:snoRNA from 1 species
GUGCAAUGAUGUAUGUCAACACAUCAUUCUGAAAAAUAUAUAUGUGGUGACUUUCAAAAAAAAAAAUUUAUGGUAGAGAUUAGCCCA